rnacentral:misc_RNA from 1 species
AGUUCCUCAACUGCAUAGAGAGUUUCUUUCAUGUAGCCUGGAAAUUGGGGUUUUAUUGCAGGCUUCUGUUAAAAUGUCUGCUCCCCUGAAAUGCAUUAGUGGUCAGAGAAAAACUACUACAGGUGUGAUAAAUUAUCUAUGCCUUUUGGUGAUCUGCUAGACUGCUUUCUAAUUUUGUGCUCUUGUUUGGGUACAUUUGAUAA